rnacentral:rRNA from 1 species
UACGUAGGGGGCGAGCGUUGUCCGGAAUUAUUGGGCGUAAAGAGCGUGUAGGCGGUUCGGUAAGUCUGCCGUGAAAACCUGGGGCUCAACCCCGGGCGUGCGGUGGAUACUGCCGGGCUAGAGGGUGGUAGAGGCGAGUGGAAUUCCCGGUGUAGCGGUGAAAUGCGCAGAUAUCGGGAAGAACACCCGUGGCUAAGGCGGCUCUCUAGUACGGUACUGACGCUGAGACGCGAAAGCGUGGGGAGCGAACAGG